rnacentral:rRNA from 1 species
UGAGGAAUUUUGGUCAAUGGGGGAAACCCUGAACCAGCGACGCCGCGUGCAGGAUGAAGGAGCUAUGCUUCGUAAACUGCUGUCGGACGGGAAAAAAAGUUGGCUUUGCCGACUGGGAUUGUACCGUCAAAGGAAGGAUCGGCUAACUACGUGCCAGCAGCCGCGGUAAUACGUAGGAUCCAAGCGUUGUCCGGAUUUACUGGGUGUAAAGGGUGCGCAGGCGGGCUUGUGCGUCAGAGGUUAAAGACCUUGGCUCAACCAAGGAAGUGCCUUUGAUACGGCAAGUCUUGAGUACAAGAGAGGAUGGUAGAAUUCCUGGUGUAGCAGUGAAAUGCGUAGAUAUCAGGAGGAAUACCAGUGGCGAAGGCGGCCAUCUGGCUUGUAACUGACGCUCAGGCACGAAAGCGUGGGGAUCAAACAGG